UCACGGUCCUCUACUAGAGACCAUCAGGGAACCUCGUGCGCGUCGUCCUCCCAUUGAAUUGAGCUAGUUUCGUGUAACCAGACCGCGCAUGCUCUAGUAGUCGUCGACCGUGCAUGCUUUCGAAUCGUACGUACGUUCGUGUGCUUUUCUAAUUGCGUGAUAUAUCAUCAGGAGGUAUUUGGUCUAACUCUUCUCAAUCGUUUCACUAGGACGUGCAUGUGGUUGACGCGUGGGAGCUCCUGAAGAUCAAUUUCUUACUUCGCACGCUUGCUUCGCUGCUGUACUCUAAGUCUCUCGGCAUGGCAAGAGCAGACGGUGCAUGUGAUUGCAAGCCAGGUGGUAUUUGUGAAUUGUAGACGUGCAUGGCCCAGUAUUGUUGUUAGUUGCUCUUUGCAGUAGUCGAGUCGUUGGUUUUGUACACUUAAAGCAGCUGUUUGUGGUUAUCUAGGCAUCAGGCCAGUGGCAUGUCUGGUAGCGAUCGAACAGCAGUCCAGUCUCGGUUUGCUUGGUAGACAGACGCGUGAAAGUUUUUGUUCGGGUUUUGGUUUCUACUUUUGGAGUUCAACAUUCUAGUUUACUACCAAUGGAAUUAAUGAGGUUGCAAUGCAUGAGAUGAUCAUACAGACAGCAGUCCUGAAAAGUCUACGUUUUCAUGGUACAAUGCAGCAUAGCAGUCCUAAAGUGGGAAGUACAUCUAGAAAGACAGGGAAUAUUUACUGUAUUAGUGGCUGUUGGGAACUCGAUCUGCCUUUGGUGCUUUCUUGAUGGGCACACAAUAGCCUAUGCAACCUCCCCCACACUCAAAACACUAGACUUGUUUUGAAUCUGUGUCUAAGAUUGAUCGAUCGAUGCAUGGCAACUUCUGUGUGAUAUAGAAAUGUAUUAUAGUAUGGUACUCAUAUGUAUGAUUUUUUUCACGCCUGCUGAAGGCAUACAGUAUCCACAGUUAAUAAAGGACAUACAGAACUGUACAUUUAAAAUUUACACAGAGACACACACAGACACACACAAAAUAGAUAUUAUA